CCUACGGGUGGCAGCAGUGGGGAAUAUUGGACAAUGGGGGGAACCCUGAUCCAGCGACGCCGCGUGAGUGAAGAAGUAUUUCGGUAUGUAAAGCCCUAUCAGCCGGGAAGAAAAUGACGGUACCUGACUAAGAAGCCCCGGCUAACUACGUGCCAGCAGCCGCGGUAAUACGGAGGGGGCAAGCGUUAUCCGGAAUUACUGGGCGGAAAGGGGGCGUAGACGGUGCAGCAAGUCUGAUGUGAAAGGUCCGGGCCCAACCCCGGGACUGCAGUGGAAACUGUUGAACUGGAGUAGGGGAGAGGUAAGCGGAAUGCGUGGUGUAGCGGUGAAAUGCGUAGAGAUUAGGAGGAACACCGGUUGCGAAGGCGGCUUACUGGACUGUAACUGACGUUGAGGCUCGAAAGCGUGGGGAUCAAACAGGAUUAGAUACCCGUGUAGUC
rnacentral:rRNA from 1 species